AAUGUGUGCCUUCGUUGAGAGAAGAACAAAGGCCUCGACAUGAUAGUUCAGCAUCGACUCCAAAACCCUCCUUCUCCAUUCAAAAUCAUUGAAGCCGAGUUCCACUUUCCCAGAAGAAGUUUCAUUGGUUAAAGAUGGAUUUUCAUUCAGUUUCAUUUACAAAUUCAUUCCAACUUCAAGAAGACUUAUCCACUUUCCAAGUCCCUUUUGCCUUCUUUGAUUUUUCCAGAUUUGAACUUUGCUGAUCCGACCUUUGAAUAGUGCAUCGAUGGCUCACACGAUUGAAGAAAUCCUUGUAAAGUUAGCGUGGCUACAACAUUCAGGUAGGCAUACAGAAAAAAACAG